rnacentral:rRNA from 1 species
ACGAACGCUGGCGGCGUGCUUAACACAUGCAAGUCGAACGGAAAGGCCCUGCUUUUGUGGGGUGCUCGAGUGGCGAACGGGUGAGUAACACGUGAGUAACCUGCCCUUGACUUUGGGAUAACUUCAGGAAACUGGGGCUAAUACCGGAUAGGAGCUCCUGCUGCAUGGUGGGGGUUGGAAAGUUUCGGCGGUUGGGGAUGGACUCGCGGCUUAUCAGCUUGUUGGUGGGGUAGUGGCUUACCAAGGCUUUGACGGGUAGCCGGCCUGAGAGGGUGACCGGCCACAUUGGGACUGAGAUACGGCCCAUACUCCUACGGGAGGCAGCAGUGGGGAAUAUUGCACAAUGGGCGGAAGCCUGAUGCAGCAACGCCGCGUGCGGGAUGACGGCCUUCGGGUUGUAAACCGCUUUCGCCUGUGUCGAAGCGUGAGUGGCGGUAAUGGGUAAAGAAGCACCGGCUAACUACGUG